AUGACUGGACGAAACCAAGAAAUAACCCCUCAUGUGCGAAAUUAUAGAAGAUCCCCUUUAAGAUCAAACAAUUCCAUCGAAUUGAGCACAAAGCAAAUUGACCUUAAGAAAGGCCAGCGACCAGAGUUCAUGCCAGCGUCCAUAGUCGAGUAA
rnacentral:rRNA from 1 species